CGCGCAGGCGGGAUGGCAAGUCGGUCGUGAAAUCCUUCGGCUCAACCGAAGAACGUCGGCCGAUACUGCCGUUCUUGAGGGAUGCAGAGGAGACUGGAAUUCCCGGUGUAGCGGUGAAAUGUGUAGAGAUCGGGAGGAACACCGGUGGCGAAGGCGGGUCUCUGGGCAUCUCCUGACGCUGAGGCGCGAAAGCGUGGGGAGCAAACGGGAUUAGAUACCCCGGUAGUCCACGCCAUAAACGAUGACGACUAGGUGUGGGGUGGUUCAGUCCACUCCGUGCCGCAGCUAACGCAUUAAGUCGUCCGCCUGGGGAGUACGGCCGCAAGGUUGAA
rnacentral:rRNA from 1 species